GCCUCCAAAAGUGUAACGGAGGCUUCUAAAGGUUCCCUCAGCACGCUUGGUAACCGUGCGUAGAGUGCAAUGGCAUAAGGGAGCUUGACUGAGAGACUCACAAGUCGAUCAGGUACGAAAGUAGAGCAUAGUGAUCCGGUGGUUCCGUAUGGAAGGGCCAUCGCUCAAAGGAUAAAAGGUACGCCGGGGAUAACAGGCUGAUCUCCCCCAAGAGCUCACAUCGACGGGGGGGUUUGGCACCUCGAUGUCGGCUCGUCACAUCCUGGGGCUGGAGAAGGUCCCAAGGGUUGGGCUG
rnacentral:rRNA from 1 species